CCCGGACGCUGGGCCAGACCUGGGGAGGUCUCUUGCGGGCCAUUGGCUUGGGCCGCUGUUCCGACCCGGCUUUGAGGAUUUCCCCAGGCUUUGGGGCCCCCUUUGUGGACCGGCGAGAGAGUAGCCAGGCCAGCGACUCACCUUUGACCCCACCCACCACUCCUUGCAUCCCUCAAGUUCCCCUGCACCCGUCCCCUGGAGCCCAAGGCUUUGAAACGGUAGUGACUCCGCAAAGAAAGCGGAUCACUCUGUGA
rnacentral:lncRNA from 1 species